GAGAAGAACGCAGCGAAAUGCGAUAAGUAAUGUGAAUUGCAGAAUUCCGUGAAUCAUCGAAUCUUUGAACGCACAUUGCGCCCCCUGGCAUUCCGGGGGGCAUGCCUGUCCGAGCGUCAUUUCUGCCCUCCAGCCCGGCUGGGUGUUGGGCGCUGUCCCCCCGGGGACACGCCCCAAAGGCAGUGGCGGCGCCGCGUCGGGUCCUCGAGCGUAUGGGGCUUUGUCACCCGCUCGGGACGGACUCGUCGGCGCUGGUCUUCCUCCAGGCGACCCUUCGGGGCUCGUCUUCCUUCGGUUGACCUCGGAUCAGGUAGGGUUACCCGCUGAACUUAAGCAUAUCAAUAAGCGGAGGA
rnacentral:misc_RNA from 1 species